CGUUGCUUAGUAACCUUAAAAUGUGUGCUUUUAACGGUAUAAAUACGGUAAAUAUUUAACUCUGUGAGAUUAUCAUGAACUAAUACUCUUCAAAAUUUCGUUAGCCAGGACUGAUCUAGUGCAAGAUGAAGUACUGUUAACUUUUAACGAGAACAAGCAGAGUUAAGUUUUCGUUAUGGAGAAUGGAGAAUGUGUUUGGGCAGAGUCGGACAGAUUUUAGAAAAUCGCUAGGGUACCAUCCUGCAGAAGAUGGUGAACAUAUUUAUUAAUAAUAAGCACUGCUACAUUUGACUAGAAUAUGAUAGAGGAGGGAAAAAUCCAACAGGCGAAUUAAAAGCCCGUGCUAUAAUACCACUCUUUCUUAACUUUAACUAUCUCAUCAAUCAAGGUUCUUCAAAACUGUCUUCUUCUCUGUUGGUAGGUUAUACAUUUGUGUCAUUGUAAACUUAAAGUUAAAUUAUUUAAACGUAAUUAAAUUGAUACAUCUCACUAAUUCAAUAUAUUUAUCCAGGUGUUUGGGCAGAGUCGGACAGAUUUUAGAAAAGCGCUAGAGUACCAUCCUGCAGAAGACGACGAACAAAUUAGCACUGCUACAUUUUACUAGAAUAUGAUAGAGGAGUUAUACUGUUAUUCUCCCCUUUGCUUUUUCGCUGAAGCUCGUUUACAGACAACACUUCCCCUGGAACUGGAUCACGAUCACGAAAGAUAAAACCCGAAGGAUAAGAUUUUCAACAGAACCAAGAGCGGUACCCAAAUCAACGAUGUGGUUUGCAAGGGAAGCAGUGGUCAAAUAUCCUGUUCAAACUAAACAGAAUUCUCGUCAGAUCCGUUACUGAUGGACUGACCUGCCAUUGUGUGAUACUGAUAGUCGCCGAAGGAUCUCUCUGACAUGAAAACGGCUAUACUGACGUCUGACAAAGUUACUCAGAAUGUUCUUUCUUCUCUAAUCUCUGACUCUCAUUUUGCUGUGCCGGAGCCCGGAAUGUCGUGCCCUUAUUAUUUCUGGAAGAUAAUGUACUGCUGGGAAUAAUCUAUACUCUAUUUCUCCUGAAACUGUAAAACAUACAGUAGUUACUGCCAAAACUUUCUUCUACAAAUCCUCUACAAUGAUGCCGAACGCUUGAACUUGAAGAUUGAGUUAAUCUUCAAGAUGUUGCUCCGAUCAAAGAAUUUAAGAUGACAAUUCCAGUUCAUAAUGUUACACUGUGCACGGGAUUUAGAAAGAUAAACAUUAUAUAUUAUAAUCCGUUGUUUCAAUAUUUUGUUUUCUUUGUUAAUCACUAACUGAUCGAUGAUCUAACUAGGUUUUAUCUCUAACUUAAACUGUGAUCUGAGAGAAGCUUUAUCAGUGUGUAGUGUGCGUGCAGUACUGCGCCGUGACGUAAUAGGACAAAA